rnacentral:tRNA from 1 species
GGGUAUGUAGCUCAGUUGGUUAGAGCACUGGUCUUUUAAACCAUAGGUCUUGAGUUCGAGUCUCAACAUACCUA